UACGGAGGGGGCGAGCGUUAUUCGGAAUUAUUGGGCGUAAAGGGCGCGUAGGCGGCGCGAUAAGUCAAAGGUGAAAUCCCUCGGCUCAACUGAGGAACUGCCUUUGAGACUGUCGGGCUCGAGGCCGGGAGGGGGUAGCGGAAUUCCCGGUGUAGUGGUGAAAUGCGUAGAGAUCGGGAGGAAUACCCGUGGCGAAGGCGGCCAGCUGGGCUACACCUGACACUGAGACGCGAAGGCGUGGGGAGCGAACGGG
rnacentral:rRNA from 1 species